rnacentral:rRNA from 1 species
GAUGAACGCUGGCGGCGUGCUUAACACAUGCAAGUCGAACGAGAAGUGAAGACGGAAACCUUCGGGCGGAAGGCUUUAUUUCGAGUGGCGGACGGGUGAGUAACGCUUGGGUAACCUGCCUCAUACAGGGGGAUAACAGUUGGAAACGACUGUUAAUACCGCAUAAGACCACAGCACCGCAUGGUGCGGGGGUAAAAACUCCGGUGGUAUGAGAUGGACCCGCGUUCGAUUAGCCAGUUGGCGGGGUAACGGCCCACCAAAGCGACGAUCGAUAGCCGAUCUGAGAGGAUGACCGGCCACAGUGGGACUGAGACACGGCCCAAACUCCUACGGGAGGCAGCAGUGGGGAAUAUUGCACAAUGGGGGAAACCCUGAUGCAGCGACGCCGCGUGAGUGAAGAAGUAUUUCGGUAUGUAAAGCUCUAUCAGCAGGGAAGAAAAUGACGGUACCUGAGUAAGAAGCCCCGGCUAACUACGUG